UACACACUCUUACACACUGGUGAAAGAAAUCAUGCUUGUGAAGUUUGUGGGAAAUGUUUCAGUCAGAAGGGUACACUCAAGAAACACACUCUUACACACACUGGUGAAAGAAAUCAUGAGUGUGAAGUUUGUGGGAAAUGUUUCAGUCUGAAGGGUACCCUCAAGAAACACACUCUUACACACACUGGUGAAAGAAAUCAUGAGUGUGAAGUUUGUGGGAAAUGUUUCAGUCGGAAGUAUAACCUCAAAUUACACACUCUUACACACACUGGUGAAAGAAAUCAUGAGUGUGAAGUUUGUGGAAAAUGUUUCAGUCGGAAGGGUACCCUCAAAUUACACACUCUUACACACACUGGUGAAAGAAAUCAAGAGUGUGAAGUUUGUGGAAAAUGUUUCAGUCGGAAGGGUACCCUCAAAUUACACCUUGUUACACACAGUGGUGAAAGAAAUCAUGAGUGUGAAGUUUGUGGAAAAUGUUUCAGUCAGAAGGGUACCCUCAAAUUACACCUUGUUACACACACUGAUGCAAGAAGUCAUGAGUGUGAAGUUUGUGGGAAAUGUUUCAGUCAGAAGGGUACCCUCAAAUUACACCUUGUUACACACACUGAUGCAAGAAGUCAUGAGUGUGAAGUUUGUGGGAAAAGGUUCAAACUGAAGAGUAUAUUGGACAGGCACGUCUUCAGACACUCUGGUCAUAAAGGGUUCAAGUGCGAUGUUUGUGGGAAACGUUUCAUGACUAAGGGUGAGAUUGUCAAGCACAUGAAGGUCCACUUCUCCUGAGGUGCUGUGCUGAUUCAGUUCUGCUGUGUGUGUGAGUGCAAGUGUUUGUUGUGGUGGUGUUACAGGGCUGUGUGUAGCACAGAGAACAGAAAAUAUUCAUCUGUUGGAACAAAUGGUGACUGUGACGGCAUGAUCUGUUAUUCACUUUCCACCCCAGGCUUCAUGUGGUUGGUGGGUCCUGUGAAAGGUCUGAUCUUUUUGGUGACUGUGCUGGGCUGGCUGUUGUGGCCUGGGCUUAUUGGUCAAGUGUGUGUGUGUUAAUAGUAAUAAUAUAGUGUAUUUGGUCUUACCAGCCGCUAAGCUAAAAAUGUACACAUUAUAAACACAUUGUAAAGAACAGUAGGUAGGGGUUCAGGGAUCUAACACAUCAGUGGGAGGUUGGAAUGAUAGUGGUGGGAGGGUUGAGUGCAGUGUGGUGGUGCCGGGGAGGGGGAGGACAUCCUCUUCCAGAUGGUGGCAAGGUGUUAGUCCCAAGGUGUGACAUUCAUGUAGGUGUGAAAGAGGGGUGACGAUAUGAUUGAGCACAUGCUACUUGAGUGAUGUAUGUAUAUAAGAGAGAAAAGGGGAUUAUGGUAACAGUUGUGACUGAAUGGAAUAGGAUGUUGGAGAGGGAUGUAAAAAGGUUAAAUGCAUGCAAUAUUAUUUCAGCUGAGGUCAUUUUCAAAGCAGACAAUUGUUGUCAUUCAGUAGAUCAUGUCAUUCUUAAUCAUCAGAAAUCAUUUUCAAGACUCAAUUCUGACCUGUCACAUUGCGUAGAUCUUGUCAUUCUUAGUCAGUUGAGGUCAUCUUGAAGCCAACAAUUCUUGUUUCAUAGUUCAAUUCUUGUCAUUUUCCCUCUUUUUGUUCCUCAGAUAUAUUUUUCAAAUUAAUAUCAUAUUUAUUUCCAUUUAUUUAAUUUUGGGAGCAGGCAUAAAGGCCAGGUUAUGUUAGGUUACCUUAUAUUUAGUUUAAUUAGGUCAGAUGAGGUUAGGUUACAUUUAAUUUGAUUAAGGUAGUUAGAUUUAAUUGUGUUCAAUGAAUGUGUAAUAUGCUUCAGUUAUAUAAUGUGUACUCGCCAUUGCCAAUGGAGCUUGGGAAUAAUAACACAUGACUUAGGCCCGAUUUUUUAAACGUGAAGUUUGCAUUUGCUAAUACUAAUGUAGCUGAUUCUUCGUAUGUCUCGUUUUUUAAACCACUUUCAGCCGUGGUGUUAGUGUCAACUCGUAGGAGACACCACGGGUUCCUAUAAGAAUCGGCGGGUUGUCCAACCCCACCCCAACAAGAACCACCAAUAAUAUUCACGAAUCAUGUGCGAUUGAAAGUAAUGUUAAAAAUAUGAUAAUAUAUCAAUAUGUUUAAGUGCAAACGAAAAAUAGUGUACAUCAUCGUAAGGAAGAGAUUAAGGUGUUUAUUAGAGUGCGCGUUCGGGCUCCCUUAACCCCGUUGACACUGGUGAGUUAUGGGUCUGUUUAGUGUUUACAUUGUUCACCCGCACCGGGACGUCCAUCACCCCUUCAAGGUUUACAUCAUUUUCACAUGGUAAGUACAACAUUUAAGUAAUUUUUGAAUGCAUAAAAACACCAAGCUUUAGUAAUUCUUGGUCAGAACCAUGUUAUAUGCUCUUGCGCUCUAUCAAGCUUGGGCCAGCUGGUACAUCCCGCCAGUUUCAGUAAAUAAUUAUUCCAUUGCAGGCAUUUGCGGCAUAUCUGGAACUCCUCGAUCUUGUGGGUCAAGUUGAGGAGGUGAGGCUUCCCAGAGACCGGCAAAACCCAUUCACCUGUCUCUCUGAGGAGGACUUCAUAGAUCGCUACCGUCUCUCACCAGCUUGCACACUCCAACUGCUUGAGAAUGUACAGCCCCAACUACCCAGAGCGCGAGAUGGCAGAGGCUGCAGUGUUCCUGGUCACCUGCAGCUUCUUGUAGCAUUACGCUACUUUGCCAGCGGGAACUUCCAGUUAACCAUGGCAGACUGUUUGGAGAUGUCUGCUUCUUCAGUCUGCAAAUUUGUUCACCGCAUAGCUGUUAUACUAACACGCAUGUCACCUAAUUAUAUCAAGUUUCCUGAACCUGCCAAUACACGUCAGGUAGCAGAGGACUUUCAUGCUGUCGCUGGCAUGCCUGGUGUCAUCGGCUGUAUUGAUGGAACAUUGAUUCCAAUUGUGAGUCCUGGCGGAGACACUGCAGAAUUAUACUGCUGUAGGAAGGGUUACUUUGCCCUAAAUGUCAUGGCAGUUUGCGAUGAAAAAAUGCGUUUCACUAAUGUCAUUAGUAGUUGGCCAGGAAGUGUCCAUGACAGCCGCAUUUUUUAUAAUUCUAGGCUUUGUCAGAAAUUAGAAUAUGAAGGUUACUCAGGUUAUCUUUUGGGAGAUUCAGGGUACGCAUGCAAGUCUUACUUGUUGACUCCGGCACUGGAUCCCCAAACUGAACAAGAAAACAGAUAUAAUGCAUCACAUAUACGCACACGCAACACUGGAGGAAUCUGACAAAUAAAUAUUAUUUUUGUAUA